GACGGAGGAUGCAAGCGUUAUCCGGAAUGAUUGGGCGUAAAGCGUCUGCAGGUGGCAGUUCAAGUCUGCUGUCAAAGACCGGGGCUUAACUUCGGAAAGGCAGUGGAAACUGAACAGCUAGAGUAUGGUAGGGGCAGAGGGAAUUCCUGGUGUAGCGGUGAAAUGCGUAGAUAUCGGGAAGAACACCAGUGGCGAAGGCGGCAUCCUGGACCGGCAUUGACGCUGAGGCGCGAAAGCCAGGGGAGCAAACGGG
rnacentral:rRNA from 1 species